CAAGAGCACACCCUAAGAAUGUCCUGUAUACUCAUCUCUGUCUCAGAGUUGGCUUCUUGGGCAAUCCAAGCUGUAAUAUUGAUGAAAUUGUGUGGGUGUCAUGUGUUCUGUCCCAAAUAUGGAAGAGAUUUGGGGACUGACUGGGGCAGACGAUUUCAUGCAGCCCUUUCAUGCAUUCUGGAUCACCUAUGUUUAUUUGCUCCUGCCAUUCGCGUGGCUCUAUUGUUAAGAGAAGAGAAUAUGAGAGAAGAAAAGUUAUGCUCCUUAGAGGCUUUUCCAAUUAACUGUUUGAAGAGUCUUUGAAAAAAAUGCCUAAGUGUGAGGUUAUUUGUAUUCCUAAUUUCAUUUUUAUGUUACACGUACUUUUAAGUGUAAUUUACUAUGGCUUAACACUUGUAUUCUUUUAGGGGCAUUACAAAGAGCAUUGCACAUUUAUUACAGCCCUUUAAAUGGCUGUGUUUUAUUUCCAUAUUCUUUUAAAUAGUUAUUGAGUAGAUUUGGUGCUCUUCCUGUAGUUAAAGUGCAUUUUUUUAUUGUACAUAAAUGGUAAAUAAUUGAUACCUGCCAUAUGCUUCUCUCCCCCUUUCUGAGUUCCCAUUCCCCUUCCCCUCCUCAUUCUCUUCCCU
rnacentral:lncRNA from 1 species